rnacentral:rRNA from 1 species
GGACCCGACUGCUAUCGGAUUGAGAUUUAGCCACGCGAGUCGAACGUCCCCCUGUUGCGGGGGGCGUGGCGUACGGCUCAGUAACACGUAGUCAACCUGCCCUGGAGACACGGACAACCCCGGGAAACUGGGACUAAUCCGUGAUAGGUCACCUCAUCUGGAAGGAGAGAUGGCCCAAAGGGGCGCGCGGGCUUCUUCUGCGCGUUCGCUCCAGGAUGGGACUGCGACCGAUCAGGCUGUUGGCGGGGUAAAGGCCCACCAAACCUGUAACCGGUACGGGCCUUGAGAGAGGUGGCCCGGAGAUGGACACUGAGAAAAGGGUCCAGGUCCUACGGGGCGCAGCAGGCGCGAAACCUUCGCAAUGCGCGAAAGCGUGACGAGGUUAAUCCGAGNUGAUUUCCGCUGAGGAGACCUUUUGUCGGCUGUAAAUAGGCCGGCGAAUAAGGGGAGGGCAAGCCUGGUGU